CAAAAACAUGUCCUUUUGAUUUUAUUUAAGGUCUAACCUGCCCAAUGAUUUUAUUUAAUGGCCGCGGUAUUUUAACUGUGCUAAGGUAGCAUAAUCAUUUGUCUUUUAAUUGAAGGCUGGUAUGAAUGGUUGGACGAGGCAUAUUCUUUCUUUAAUUUAAUUUAUGAAUUUAAUUUUUUAGUUAAAAAGCUAAAAUUUAUUUGUUGGACGAGAAGACCCUAUAGAUCUUUAUAUUUAUAAUUGUUUUAUUAAUUUGGUUAAUUUAUUAUUUAAAUCAAUUUAAUUAUUUGGUUGGGGCGACUUUAGAAUUUUAAUAACUUCUAUUAUUAAUUUUCAUUUAUUUAUGUUUUAUUGAUCCAUUAUUAAUGAUUAAAAGAUUAAGUUACCUUAGGGAUAACAGCGUAAUUCUUUCGGAGAGUUCAUAUCUAUGAAAGAGUUUGCGACCUCCAUGUUGGAUUAAAAUAAGUAUUAGAUGCAGUAGUUUUUUAACUAGGUCUGUUCGACCUUUUAUUUUUUACAUGAUCUGAGUUCA
rnacentral:rRNA from 1 species